GCUGGGUGUGGUGGCUCACACUUGUAAUCCCAGUACUUUGGGAGGCUGAGGCAGGAGGAUCACCUGAGGCCAGGAGUUCAAGACCAACCUGGCCAACAUGGUGAAACCCUGUCUCUA
rnacentral:SRP_RNA from 1 species